rnacentral:rRNA from 1 species
GACGUAGGGCGCGAGCGUUGUCCGGAUUUAUUGGGCGUAAAGAGCUCGUAGGCGGUCUGUCGCGUCGGUCGUGAAAACUUGGGGCUUAACCCUGAGCUUGCGGUCGAUACGGGCAUGACUGGAGUUCGGCAGGGGAGACUGGAAUUCCUGGUGUAGCGGUGAAAUGCGCAGAUAUCAGGAGGAACACCGGUGGCGAAGGCGG